rnacentral:snRNA from 1 species
GGAUGUGAGGGCGAUCUGGUUGCGACAUCUGUCACCCCAUUGAUCACCAGGGUUGAUUCGGCUGAUCUGGCUGGCUAGGCGGGUGUCCCCUUCCUCCCUCACUGCUCCAUGUGCGUCCCUCCCGAAGCUGCGCACUUGGUGGAAGAGGACGACGUCCCAGGUAUAGAAGGAGUGUACCGAGGUCUCCAGUCUUCGGUCCCGGCUAUUCAU